UUUUUUUUUCUUAUAAGCUGCUUGUGCUGUUUUGGAGAUGUUUCUUGCAGAGCGUAGUUUAAGUUAAACUAGAUUUUUGUCUCAGUGCAAUUUAAGGCUGUAUUUAUUUAUUUAUUAUUUGAUUUAUAUCCCACCCUUCCUCCAGCAGGAGCCCAGGGCAGCAAGCAAAAGCACUAAAAACAGUUUAAAACAUCAUAAAAACAGAUUUUAAAAUACAUUAAAACAAAACAUCUUUAAAAACAUGUUUUUUAAAAAAGCUUUCAAGACACCUUUAAAAAAAUGUGCUGUAAUGUUCAGUGCCUAUUUUUAUACUGUUUUAUAUUCCACCCUAAAACUAUUGAAGUGCCUGUCUGAAUAAAGAACAGCACAUCAGCACCUUGAAAAGUCAUUACUGCUAAAAUGGAAUGUGGACAAUAUAGGUUUGUUCAUUAUUAACCCAUGUUUAAUUAUGCCCUUGCAGAAAUGGCUCAUGUUAUACUGUACUCUGCUUUUACUCAGUGAGGAAUGUUUGCUUGAUUGUGUAGUAGGUAACCUUUACAAAAUCAACCAGACAGGCGAAGCUGACAAGCAUUUCAAGAUGCUUUAUGUACAUAUAUGAGAAAAAGAGGGAUAAUGGACGAGGAACACUUGAGGAAUGCAAUCCCAGCAAAUUCCAAUUAUGAACUGACCUGAUCUGCACCUCCUGGAUUCAUGUGUGGAUCGGAACUUAGUUAUCUGCCCGAUGAGCAUUGUAUUUUGGGAUAUAUAAGAUGGUGGCUGCCCAAUGCAGGUUGGACCUCAGCAGCCAGUUAGGUCCCCUCCAGAGAUACCACUGUGUGAGAUCAUGCAGGAGGAGUACCUGGCUGCUGAGGGGUCCAGGAAGGGGCAGCCUUGGCAAUAGCAAUGCCAGACAGAGCCUCAUGGCAGCAGUGGGUGGUAGAAAGAAAGGUGGACGUCACCCCUGCUGGAGCCACAAGCUAGGUGCUGAGAGCCAGUGCCCUGGGUGGGAAAUAGACUGAUUCCUCAAUCCCUAAUAUAGACUUGACUUCUUAAUUACUCUACCUGUAUUAAUAAGCUUAAGUGAUAACAAAGGAGAUUGAUAGUUGAAUGUUUUAUAAUAUUCUUUUCUAUCACUUUUAACCAAAUGCAGAUGAAGCCGGGGUGAUCGAUUUGUGUGCUCAUGGAAAGCCUGUCUAGUCCUUGCUUCCUUUUUUAGAAAAAAAUUAAUAUGCCCCAGUACUGAGUAACAUCAAGGCUUUAAAUUGCAAGCAGCAUGCAAAAUUAGGGCGAGGGGAAGCACGACAAAGAAUCAAAACAAAAAGGAGAACAGGCUCUGGUACUUAAUGGUGCAAGGCUUUUAUUUUGGUUCUACACAUUUUCCAUAGGAAGUGGGCCAUCACCGUGGGGAUAGUUCCACCUAUCGUGCGAAGGCAAGAAUGUUUUUGAAGUCAAGACUAGGGGCGUCAUGCCCCUCCCACUCUCCAGUUCAUUCUUGCCUUCGUACGAACAAGAUUGGAAUUUCACAUAGCAUUUAGCUAAGUCCCGUAUUUGUCCUUAAAUCUUUUCUCUUUUUCUGUGUGUGUUUAGCCUCUGAGGGUUCCCUCAGGAACCGCGGCUGCGGCUUCCUCACCCUUCCCUCAGAGCUAUUCAAUCCAUUUUAUUAACUUGAUUGGGGGCUCCCUCUGAGACCGCGGCUGCGGCUCUCUUCUUUUUGGUAGUUUCUAGCCCCCACCCCACCCCCGCUCAGUUGUCUCUCUAGCCAGGGGGCUUCCUCAAGGACCGCGGCUGCGGUUCUCCCCUUUUGAUCGCUUCUGAUCGCGUUAACCUCCCCCCCCUGAUCGGUUGCCGCGGCUGCGGCUUAUCCGAUCUCAGCGGGAGCUCGCAGCUGCGGCUCCCGCCGUUAACCCUCUGCCUCAGAUCGCCCUUGCAACGUGGCUUAAAUCCCACUGAGGGCUUUUCAGACCGCGACCGCGGCUCUCUCUGCGGUGGCGGCCGUUUUCCCCUUCCUGUUUUCUCCACGGAUUUUUUUUGGAGCCGCUACUGCGGGUUUUGGCGGCCGUUUUCCCCUACCUGUUUUCUCCAGGGAUUUUUUGGAGCCGCUACUGCGGUUUUGGGCGAGAUCGUGCUGGGCAGCCCUUCCCCCAGUUCGCCUCCGACGGCCGCCAUUGCUUCUUCCCUCUCUGUCAUUUUUUUUCCCGCUCCUUUUUUCCGGGCGCCAUUUUUUCUUUCAGAAUUCGAAUUUCCCGCCCUUUUUGUUCCCCUUAUUAUCGGAUACCUCCCCUGCAGACUAUCUAUCCGUACGUGUGUGUAUAUGUGCUGCUGACUAAUUUACACACGACUGAUUUACACACAUUACUGUGGCUGUAAUCAUAGUGGCUGAAUUGUACUAUCAAGGCUGGAGCUCCAAUCCUAGUGGGCUGGAUUGUAUUAUUAAGGCUGGAGCUUUAAUCCUAGUGGCUGGAUUACAUUAUCAAGGCUGGAGUUUUAAUCCUAGUGGCUGGAUUACAUUAUCAAGGCUGGAACUUUAAUCCUAGUGGCUGGAUUACAUUAUCAAGGCUGGAGCUUUAAUAUCAGUGGCUGAUUUGUAUUAAAUCUGAUUUACAUUAAGUAUCCUACCCCCUAUGGGGCCGUGAACAAGCCAAAAAACCCAGCCUACAGCACUAAUCUGAGUGUGCCUACUCUAAACAGCCUAUAUUAUAUUAACGCUGAUACCUCUGUGCAUUCUGCCCCCUCCGUGGCAGUGCAUUCGCCAUCUGCCAGUGUAUUCUACCCCCUCCGUGGUAGUACGCUGUGCCAGUUCGGGUCUUUACAUCCUGCCCCCUCCGUGGCAGUGUACUGCACCCAGGUUCAUAUAAGAUGGCAGAACAGCCAGGCAUGUCACCAUCAACACACAUGGUGCCAGAUCAGCCAGACAUGCCACAAUCAGCCAAGCCACAACAUACUAACACGUCUAAGACCAGACAUGCCAAAGCACUGGCUAAGACAAAACAUCUUUCCAGCCAUAGUAAACCAAAGCGCCCUCGUUAUGUUUCUGUGCCAACAACCAACACAGCACAGACACACAUAAGUGAUAUUUUCCAUUCUCCUGCUACUGCCUCUGACGAGGAAGAGUUUGUUGGCUUUCCCCCUCACGGUUCGCCUAACGAACCUACCUCUGGCUUACCGCCUCAGACAUCUGUUCCAAUAGCCCACCAGGCACAUACAUCUCACACAUCUGGUCUGCAGCUGUCUCCUGAUUUCCUCUCUCAACUCCAAGCCAUGCUGGCUUAUUUCACACGAAUGCAGUCACUACCACAGGUUCCUGCCAUACCCCCACUCAACAUGGACCAACGUGCGUCCCAUGCUGCUCAUCCUUCCUGCUCACCAGAUCCUUUCGAUGUAGCCAGAGGCAGAUGUACGGAUGAAGCCUCGUAUGCGGAGGAGUUAACUUUCACUGACCAUGUUGAAGGAGACGACUGGAGCGACUAUUCAGAUCAUGAGGAGGAUACAUCGUAUCGCUUGUUCAAUACCUCAGAUUACCAACCGCUCGCACGUAGGGUACUUCAUACCCUUGGUCUCCAGACUGCGCCUUCAACUUCGUCCGCCCCAACUCUCAAAGGGGCCAAGGUCCUCAAAUCCCCUGCACCUACUGAACACUACAUCCCGGUGCCGGACCCAAUUGCCAAAUUAGCUUCCGAAGAAUGGGCCCACCCACUCAAAGCUCGACGCUUCAAGAACACGGCUGACAGACUUUACGCCCUAGCCCCAGACUUCGCCACCAAGUUAGAUGUCCCUGGCAUAGACGAACCGAUCGCUCGCCUCGUUUCGCGAUCUAUCUUGCCCAGGGAAGGGGAAUCCCACCUAAAAGAUACUACUGAACGUCGAAUAGACUUCGCCCUCCGCAAGAACCACGAGGCCACUGCCCUAUCCAUGCGUGCCUCCGCUUCAGCCUCCAUUUUCUCCAGAGCAUCUAUGAUGUGGCUGGAUGACCUUCUAGAGGAUGAUAACCCUGAUCCUGUCGCCUUUAAAAGAGCACUAUUGAAACUACGUAAGACAGCAGCCUUUGUGGCCGACGCCACUUUGGAUGCCACCCAAUUAGGGGCACGAGCCAUGACGACUCAAAUAGUCGCUCGUCGCACCCUCUGGCUUCGUCACUGGCAAGCUGAUUCAGCGGCCAGAUUGAACCUGUCCAAGGCUCCUUACUCCGGAUCUCUUCUCUUCGGUGAGGAAGCUCUAAAGGCAGUUCUGGUUGACCCAAAAGACGCCCACAAACCGGUUCUAGCCACAGUCAAGAACAUCGACCACAGGCCCUUCAGGCGAUUUCCAUCCUUUCGUUCUAACCAGCCCUUUCGAGGAACGCGACCAGGAGGACGAGGCCGCGAUUUCAGACCCUAUGAUUCCAACGCAUUCAGGGGCUCCUGGAACCGACGCCCCCAGGGCAGAGACCUACGGCUGGCUGGUCAACUUCGACAAAAGCCAUCUCCAACCAACCCAACGCCUACUACAUCUUGGGGCAAUGUUGGACACCCUGCAGGCAAUGGCCUUCCUGUCUCCAGAUCGCAUCACUGCCAUCACAAGCAUCGCAAGGUCCCUGAUGCAACAAACAUCCGCAGACGUCAUGCUUCUCGCCAGAGCACUCGGGAUGUUUAUCUCCACAAUCCACAUUGUACCCUGGGCUCGAGCUCACACUCGGCCCCUUCAGUGGACUCUGUUGCCUUUUCAAAAAGACAUUGCCAGCUCCAACCAUCGCAAAGUUCGUUUGAGCCCCGCUCUGCGCCUCUCCUUCCUCUGGUGGACCAAGGUUCAACACCUCUCCAAGGGCACGUCGUUCAGAGAACCCCGCAGAACCGUCGUGACCACAGACGCCAGCCUCAUAGGUUGGGGAGCCCACUGCAACUCCCAAUAUGUUCAGGGGGUUUGGCCCAACGCAGAGCGAGCUCGAAGCAUCAACUGGCUGGAACUAAAGGCUGUCCACUUGGCUCUAUGUCAUUUUCAGUCUCUGUUCCCUUUGCAUCAUGUGCUCAUUCGAACAGACAACACGUGUGUAAAAUCACAUUUGAACAGACAAGGGGGCACCAGGUCUCGUCCUCUGCAGGACUUAGCCUCCCUCAUCUUUGUCUGGGCAGAACAACAUCUACAAUCCCUGAAAGCAGAGCACCUCAAAGGGAUUUUGAAUGUGACAGCAGACUGGCUCAGCAGACAACAGGUCUUCCCGGGAGAAUGGAAACUUCAUCCUGCCAUUUUCCAUCGUCUCCAGUGUCGGUUCGGCGCCCUCUCAGUCGACCUGUUUGCUUCCAGUCACAAUUGCCAGCUUCCCAGGUACUUUGCCCGAUACCUGGACUCAACAGCAGAAGCAGUGGAUGCUCUGACAACACCGUGGCCAGACGGUCUAUUGUACGCCUUUCCUCCCAUACCAUUGUUAGCCAAAACCUUGAGGAAGGCGCGAACCGAAAGGGCACAGCUGGUUCUGAUAGCACCAUUUUGGCCACGCCGUCCGUGGUUCUCAGAUCUUCUGGCAAUGUCAAUGAUGGACCCUUGGACACUUCCAGUAACGCCAGACCUCUUAUCCCAGGGUCCAGUACUGCACCAGGACCCUACUUGGCUCAAUCUAACAGCGUGGCGUUUGAACGGAGACACUUGAGGUCAGCUGGACUGUCUGACGCUGUGAUUGAUAUUAUUUUGGCCUCGAGAAGACCAUCUACCACUCGCAUUUAUCAACAUACCUGGGUGGCUUUCUCCAAGUGGUGUCAGUCCCACCACCACGAUCCAUCCCAGGCCAAUGUGCACCAGGUGCUCCAAUUUCUCCAUAGUGGCUUUAUGAUGGGACUUCGACCCAACACCCUACGUCGACAUGCGUCUACUCUGUCAUCCAUUCUCUCAGUGUCCUCUCCUGGAGAUCAUAUUUCCUCACAUCCGUUCAUCAAACGUUUUUUGAGGGGAGUCGCCCUACGCUCUCCGGCUGUUGUCCAUCGGUUCCCCUCAUGGAGUUUGCCGAAAGUUCUGCAGGCUUUGCAACGCCCUCCGUUUGAACCCAUCAGAACUGUGCCCCUACGUAUUCUGUCCUUCAAGGUCCUGUUUCUGAUUGCAAUCACAUCUGCCAGACGCGUUUCGGAGUUGGGCGCAUUGUCUUCCGCUAGACACCUCUGCGUCUUCCAUAAGGACUCUGUUGUGCUGAAGACUGACCCUUCCUUUCGUCCCAAGGUCGAUUCAGUUUUUCAUUGCAACCAGGACAUUGUUUUGCCUUCCUUUUGCCCGAAUCCUACCCAUCCUCUCGAGAAGGCUUGGCAUUCGUUGGAUGUCCGGAGGGCUCUCAAGACCUACCUGUCUAGGACCCAAGAGAUUCGACGAACGGAGUCUCUGUUUGUAUCCUUUCAUCCAGGGUCUAUGGGGCAUAAAGUAUCCAAUCCUACCUUAUCCCGUUGGUUAAGGGCAUGCAUUACCUUAGCAUAUGAGUCCCUGAAGCUGCCAGUUCCUGCUAGUAUAACAGCUCAUUCUACUAGGUCAGCUGCCACUUCGGCUGCUUUUGCUACUAAUGUUCCUGUUGCCGAUAUUUGUAGGGCCGCAGUCUGGUCUUCCCCACACUCGUUUAUAAGACAUUAUAAAAUUGAUCGUUAUGCCUCUGCUGAUGCUUCUUUUGGCAGACGAGUGUUGCAACAGGUUCUUAAUGAGGAUUAACAUGUGGGUGGUCCCUCCCUAUAUGGGUUGCUUUGGUACAUCCCACGGUGAUGGCCCACUUCCUAUGGAAAAUGUACCAUUGGUCUCACCUGAAAGGUGAUUUUCAUAGGAAGGGGCCAUCACGACCCUCCCAGUUGGAGGAUGACUAGUGAUUUUAUCAAUGGGUUACAUGUUAUUUUUUCCAUAUUAUAUUUAAAUGUAAGAGUGAAGUCAAGACCUUUAGUUCUGUUAUCUUAUGAAGUUAGGUUAGAGUCAUGUUGUUAUGCAUGUAACUAUUAUGUUAUUUUCCUGGCGGGCCUGUUGGCCUUGUUCUUGUAUUUUUAGAUAUCUCUUUUAGACUCGCUACGAAUGAACUGGAGAGUGGGAGGGGCAUGACGCCCCUAGUCUUGACUUCAAAAACAUUCUUGCCUUCGCACGAUAGGUGGAACUAUCCCCACGGUGAUGGCCCCUUCCUAUGAAAAUCACCUUUCAGGCAAGAAGUUCCAGAUAGGACCGAGCUUGAUUUAGUCAUACGAGAGGCUUCAGCUACUUGUCCAAGCCCA